rnacentral:rRNA from 1 species
UGGGGAAUCUUGCGCAAUGGGCGAAAGCCUGACGCAGCAACGCCGCGUGCGGGAAGAAGGCUCUCGGGUUGUAAACCGCUUUCAGAAGGAACGAAACUGACGGUACUUUCAGAAGAAGGUGCGGCCAACUACGUGCCAGCAGCCGCGGUGACACGUAGGCACCAAGCGUUGUCCGGAUUUAUUGGGCGUAAAGAGCUCGUAGGCGGUUCAGUAAGUCGGGUGUGAAAACUUUGGGCUUAACCCAAAGCCUGCAUCCGAUACUGCUGUGACUUGAGUACGGUAGGGGAGCGGGGAAUUUCUAGUGUAGCGGUGAAAUGCGCAGAUAUUAGAAGGAACACCGGUGGCGAAGGCGCCGCUCUGGGCCGUAACUGACGCUGAGGAGCGAAAGCGUGGGUAGCAAACAGG